AAAAAUACAUCAUAUUUAGAAUUCUGAAGGAGAGAAAACCCCUUAAUAUAUAAAUAAAAGGGGAAAUGUAACAAGAGUGUUUUUUAGAUUUAGUUCUAAGAUUAUGACUCUAAUUUUUUGAAUUAACUGUAUUUUUCUAGAGGUAAUUAAAUUAUGUAUUAUAUAUACUUAAAAAGAUUAAUGUGCCUAGUUUUGAAAAAUUUAGGGAAUCAAGUUCAUAUUUUUCUUCUUAAAGAUAUUCAAGAUUUUGUCGACAAAGUUCACUAUUGUUAGGAACUCUGCACAAGGCUUUACGUUUUAAAUUAACUGGCAUCAACUGCUCUGAAAUCAAUAUUCAAGCUGGAUAUAAUUGGAAAGUUGUGAGAGUCAAAAGUUGAGUGAAUUUUAAGGUGUCUCAUAUAGAGUUCUCUACAUCAAGAUAAGAUUAAAUGAGUGUUUAUUGCUAAUAUUUUACUGUUGAAAUCAACUUUGAAGUGAAAUUUUCUUUUUCUUUAUUCUCUUCCACCUAUUUACAACUAAUAACUUCAAUUCAAGUUAGAUUUGAGUUCUAAAAUAAUUUAGAUCUUAUUCUAAGCUUGAAGAGGUGUUCCAAGUUAUGUAUUUAACAGUAAUAUUUUGUAAAUUUAGAAAGAGUGUGUGAUUUUGAGAUUGUGACUUAAGAGAGUGCUCUUAUUAGAGUUUCUACAUGCAAGUCUGUAUCACUUGGGUGGAUUCUUUAGAGUGGUAAGUUGGGAAGCCAUGUAUCUUUUGCAAGGCAUUAAUGGGUAGUGAAUAUAUGUAUUCCUUUGUAAUCCUCUUGAGUGGUGAGCUUCGGUGAGUUAGAAAACACCAUUGGAUGGUGAAUUUUUUGUAUCCCAUUGUAAUUCUCUGUAGUAGUGAGCUUUUGUUAUUACUUUGACUCUGUGUGUUUGUUUGACUUAAUAAUAAAAGUUUAGUUAUACAUCAUUGAGUGGUGAAUACUUAUAUCACUUUGAAAUCCUCUUGAGUGGUGAGCUUUGAUGACUUAGGAAACACAAUAUCUCUUGUAUGGCAUUAUUGGACAGUGAUCAUCUUUAUCCCUUUGUAAUCCUCUUGAGUGGUAAGCUUUGGUAAGUUAGGGAGUUAGGUAUUUCUUGUAAAACAUCAUUUGGUGGUAAAUUUUUUGUAUCCUACUGUAAUCCUCCUGAGUGAUGUGCUUUUGUUCUUACCUUGACUUUAUGUGUUUGGUUAACUUAGUAAUAAAAGUUUGGUUUAUAAUUUGGCUGGUUUUAGAAAUAAUAAACAAUAACCCUUAAAAGUGAUAUAAAAGUUGAAAAGUAGGAUCACAUUUGAAGAAGCAUUACACCAAUACAAAAAAAAAAAGAGCCAAGUUAGGUUAUCAUAUCAAGCACGACCAUUUUUUAAUUUAAGGAAAGAGAGAGCCACAAACUUUUAUAUCAGUUUAUUUUAUACAAAUUGAUGUAGCGUAAUUCAAUUGGUUGUAUUAACUGCUACUUGGCCCACAUAAUUUUUUUUUAUCAUUUUAUAUUUUCAUCCAACUAAUAAAUUUAUACCUCAUCAGCUUGUACAAAAUAAAUUUACACAAAAAUUUGUAGCAUUUAUUUUAUAUCUAGAGCUUGCAUUUUGUAACAAUUUUAACUUAAAAGUUGUAUCAGCAUAUUGUGAAACAAACUUAUAAUAGAAAAAUGGGUUCUAUAACCUUAUUGACGAAAAAUGAUAAUCACCACCCCAAAGCUUACAUACAUUUACAUGUUAUAGUUAACAUAAAAAAAAAAAAAAAAAUCACGCACAGACGCGUAUUCUCUAUGUACCUAGGGAUGAAAAAAUCCGAAUCUAGAUUUCGAUGUAGGUGCACUGGAUUCGAAUCCUCAUUGAAGUUUUGAUAUCCGCAUCUACACACAUAUCGAAAAAAAUUGCAAAUCCGGAUGCGGGUAUUAUCUGCAGAGUUUGCAAGUAGAUUUUUCAAAUAUCUAGAUCCAUAAUAAUAAAUUCAA
rnacentral:lncRNA from 1 species